rnacentral:rRNA from 1 species
CCUACGGGAGGCAGCAGUGGGGAAUAUUGCGCAAUGGGGGCAACCCUGACGCAGCCAUGCCGCGUGUGUGAAGAAGGCCUUCGGGUUGUAAAGCACUUUCAAUAGGGAGAAAAGGCCCACGGCCAAUACCCGUGGGAGUUGAUGUUACCUAUAGAAGAAGCACCGGCUAACUCCGUGCCAGCAGCCGCGGUAAUA